ensembl:snRNA U1 U1 spliceosomal RNA
AUACUUAGCUGGCAGGGGAGAUUCCAUGAUCACAAGGUGGUUUUCCCAGGCGAGGCUUAUCCAUUGCACUCUGGAUGUGCUAAACCCUGCGAUUUCCCCAAAUGUGGGAAACUCGACUGCAUAAUUUGUGGUAGUGGGGUCUGCAUUCAUACUUUCCCCUG